ACCUGAAAGAUAUCUGUCCCAUAUCAGAUCGCCUUGAAGCCCAACUCUAGCUCUUCCACCAAUCACCAUACAAACCAACCCAAUACUACCCAUUAAAUCAAAGCAUUUUCUCAUUCAACCUAGUAUCGGCGAUAGAAAGGUAGAUUCAAAGACGCGAUAGAGACCACGUACCGUAAGGGAAAGAUGAAAUAACAGUGACAAACCAAGCACAAAAUAGCAAAGAUCAACCCUUGUACCUUUUGCAUCAUGAUUUAGCAAGAAUUUCUCAAGCAAAAUGCUAAUUUAAGCUUGCCACCCCGAAACCCAAGCGAGCUACUCACGAGCAGUUAUUUAUUGAGCAAACCCGUCUCUGUUGCAAAAGAGUGGGAUGACUCGUUAGUAGAGGUGAAAAGCCAACCGAGCUGGGUGAUAGCUGGUUGCCUAUGAAAUGAAUCUUAGUUCCCUCUUAAUUCACCUCCCAGGACUUCACUCAACCUCCAUGAAGCGAAUUAAGGGCUAUUUAAAGGAGGUACAGCUCCUUUAAAAAAGAAUACACUCUCCCCCAGCGGAUAAAUUAAAUUUAUACCUUACCUGUGGGCCUUCGAGCAGCCACCAUCAAAGAGUGCGUCAAAGCUCUUUACUUAAAAAUCCUAAACCCUCUUAUGACUCCCUCCCCUACUAAUAGGCCAACUUAUAAUUAAUAAGAGAACUUAUGCUAAAAUAAGUAACUAGGGAUCCCCUCUACGGCGCAAGUUUACAUCACAAUAUUAUUAACAAACCAUAAGAUACUUUCUAAACCUAACAAGGCACUGUAUCAAAAACUUUGUUAACCCACCUACGGAGCGCCUCUCAGAGAACGAUUAAAAUCUGUAAAAGGAACUCGGCAAAUUCAAGGCCCGACUGUUUACCAAAAACAUAGCCUUUAGCAAACCAAGUAUUGAAGGUGAAGCCUGCCCAGUGACAAUACGUUCAACGGCCGCGGUAUCCUAACCGUGCAAAGGUAGCGCAAUCAAUUGUCCCAUAAAUCGGGACCUGUAUGAAUGGUCCAACGAGGUCUUAGCUGUCUCCUACAGAUAAUCAGUGAAAUUGAUCUUCUUGUGCAAAAGCAGGAAUAAUCUCAUAAGACAAGAAGACCCUGUGGAACUUUAAAAUCUGCAGCCACUCCCAUAAACAACCCCUCUCCACAGGACCCACUCCUCCAGGAUAACAUUGGCAUGCAUUUUUUGGUUGGGGCGACCUUGGAGAUUAACAUAACCUCCAAAAACCAGACAACCCAUCUUAACCAAGAACAACUCAUCAACGUACUAAUAGUAACCAGACCCAAUAUAAUUGACCAAUGAACAUAGCUACCCCAGGGAUAACAGCGCAAUCUCCUUCAAGAGCCCCCAUCGACAAGGAGGUUUACGACCUCGAUGUUGGAUCAGGACAUCCUGGUGGUGCAACCGCUACCAAGGGUUCGUUUGUUCAACGAUUAACAGUCCUACGUGAUCUGAGUUCAGACCGGAGUAAUCCAGGUCGGUUUCUAUCUAUGCUAUAACUCCUUCUAGUACGAAAGGACCGAAGAAGUAAGGCCUAUACCUCAAGCACGCCUUCGCCUCCAGUAAUGAACCUAACUAAAUUACCAAAGGCUCUACCACAUUUUCCCCCUUCUCCUAGAAAAGGACCGCUAGCGUGGCAGAGCUCGGUAAAUGCAAAAGGCUUAAGCCCUUUACCCAGAGGUUCAAAUCCUCUCCCUAGCUCCACAUAAAACAUAUGACAACUCACCCUACUCUGACCCACCUCAUUAUAUCGUUAUCCUAUGCCCUACCCAUUCUCAUCGCCGUAGCAUUCCUCACUCUAGUUGAACGUAAAGUCCUAAGCUACAUACAAGCCCGAAAAGGGCCCAACAUUGUAGGACCAUUUGGUCUUUUACAACCCAUAGCAGAUGGCGUAAAACUAUUCAUCAAAGAACCAAUCCGCCCAUCAACUUCAUCUCCCUAUUUAUUUAUAGCCACUCCCAUCUUAGCCCUUCUCCUAGCAAUCACAAUCUGAACACCUCUCCCUCUACCCUUCCCCCUCACUGACCUAAACCUUGGCAUACUCUUUCUUCUAGCCCUCUCCAGUCUAGCAGUCUACUCUAUUCUAUGAUCAGGAUGAGCAUCCAAUUCAAAGUAUGCCUUAAUUGGUGCCCUGCGGGCAGUUGCACAAACUAUCUCAUACGAAGUCACCCUGGCCAUUAUCCUUCUAUCCGUAAUCAUUCUAUGCGGAAAUUACACUCUAAGUACCCUUACUACAACCCAAGAGCCUCUCUACCUCAUUUUUUCCUCUUGACCUCUAGCAAUAAUGUGAUACAUCUCCUCGCUUGCUGAAACAAACCGUGCCCCCUUUGACUUAACAGAGGGAGAAUCUGAACUCGUCUCAGGAUUUAAUGUAGAAUAUGCUGCAGGGCCAUUUGCCCUGUUCUUCCUAGCUGAAUACGCCAACAUUAUACUGAUAAACACUCUCACAACCAUCUUAUUUCUAAACCCCAGCUCACUUAACCUCCCCCAAGAACUCUUCCCCAUGACUCUAGCAACCAAAACCCUUCUCCUCUCCGCAGGCUUCCUAUGAAUUCGCGCCUCCUACCCUCGAUUCCGCUACGAUCAACUCAUACACUUGCUUUGAAAAAACUUCCUACCCCUAACGCUAGCCUUAUGCCUAUGACAUACUAGCUUCCCUAUCUCCUAUGCAGGCUUACCCCCCUACCUAAGACCCUCCUCGGAAAUGUGCCUGAAUCUAAAAGGGCCACUAUGAUAAAGUGAACAUAGAGGUAUACCAGCCCUCUCAUUUCCUAGUCUUAGAAAAGUGGGAAUUGAACCCACACUAAAGGAAUCAAAAUCCUCUAUACUCCCUUUAUAUUAUCUUCUAGUAAGGUCAGCUAAUUAAGCUAUCGGGCCCAUACCCCGAAAAUGAUGGUUCAACCCCUUCCUUUACUAAUGAAUCCUCAAGCUAAAUUAAUCUCUACAAUAAGCCUACUCCUAGGAACCUCUAUUACAACCUCAAGUAGUCACUGAGCAAUAGCAUGAGUCGGCCUAGAAAUCAACACUUUAGCCAUUCUUCCCUUAAUUUCAAAAAGCCAUCAUCCACGAGCCAUUGAAGCUUCCACCAAAUAUUUCCUUACUCAAGCAACUGCAUCCACACUGCUCCUAUUCUCUAGCAUAACCAACGCAUGAUUCUCAGGCCAAUGAGACAUUACCCAAUUAACCCACCCUAUAUCAUGCAUGCUAUUAACAAUUGCAAUUUCAAUCAAACUAGGCUUAGUCCCAUUCCAUUUCUGAUUUCCAGAGGUCCUUCAAGGUUCAACCCUAAUAACAUGCCUCUUACUAGCCACAGUGAUAAAAUUUCCUCCCAUUACCCUUCUCUACCUAACAUCCCCUUCACUCAACCCCAUCCUCCUAUCCUCAAUAGCUAUCGCUUCCACAGCCCUAGGUGGUUGAAUAGGACUAAAUCAAACGCAAACUCGCAAAAUCCUAGCCUUCUCAUCCAUUGCACACCUAGGAUGAAUAGCCAUUAUCCUUAUCUACGACCCUAACCUCACUUUAAUUACCUUUUAUUUAUAUACUAUAACAACCUCCGCUAUCUUUUUCAUUCUCAACAUAACCAAUUCCUUAAAACUAUCCACUAUAAUGACAGCAUGAACCAAAAUUCCCUCAUUAACCACAAUUCUUAUACUCGCCCUUCUCUCCCUCGCAGGUCUCCCGCCCCUAACAGGAUUCCUGCCUAAAUGACUUAUUAUUCAAGAACUAACUAAACAAGAACUGACUAUGGUCGCUACAACUAUUACCCUUCUCUCCUUACUCGGGCUUUUCUUCUAUCUUCGUCUUGCCUAUUGCGCAACUAUCACACUACCCCCAAACUCCACUAACUACAUAAAACAGUGACAAACUAACAAGUCAACUAACAUCCUAGCUACAACCUUUACCACCUUAUCAAUCAUGCUCCUGCCACUAUCUCCCACAGUACUUACAAUCCCUUAGAAACUUAGGUUAUUUAAACCAAAGGCCUUCAAAGCCUUAAAUAAGAGCUUAUCCCUCUUAGUUUCUGCUAAGGUCCGCAGGAUACUAACCUACAUCCCCUGAUUGCAACUCAGAUGCUUUAACUAAGCUAGAACCUUCCCCUAGGCAGAUGGGCUUCGAUCCCAUAAAACUUUAGUUAACAGCUAAAUGCCCUAGCCAACAGGCUUCUGCCUACCAGAUCCUGGUGCACAUUCAAUGCACAUCAAUGAGCUUGCAACUCAACAUGAAUUUCACUACAGAAUCGAUAAGAAGAGGAAUCAAACCUCUGUAAAAAGGACUACAGCCUAACGCUUUAACAUUCAGCCAUCUUACCUAUGACUUUCAUCAACCGCUGACUAUUCUCCACCAACCACAAAGACAUUGGCACACUCUACCUUAUUUUCGGUGCAUGAGCAGGCAUAAUUGGUACAGCCCUAAGCCUCCUCAUCCGAGCAGAGCUAGGACAACCAGGAACCCUUUUAGGCGAUGACCAAAUCUAUAAUGUAAUCGUCACCGCACAUGCCUUUGUCAUAAUUUUCUUUAUAGUAAUACCCAUCAUAAUUGGGGGGUUCGGCAACUGACUAGUCCCCCUAAUAAUUGGCGCCCCCGACAUAGCAUUCCCCCGAAUAAACAACAUGAGCUUCUGACUCCUUCCCCCAUCUUUUCUACUACUCUUAGCAUCCUCCACAGUAGAAGCCGGAGUCGGAACAGGAUGAACUGUAUACCCACCCCUAGCCGGCAAUCUUGCUCACGCCGGGGCAUCAGUAGACCUCGCCAUCUUCUCCCUACACCUGGCAGGUGUUUCUUCCAUCCUUGGAGCCAUCAACUUUAUCACUACAGCAAUCAACAUAAAACCACCCGCCCUCUCACAAUACCAAACCCCCUUAUUUGUCUGAUCUGUUUUAAUCACCGCCGUCUUACUUCUCCUCUCCCUACCAGUCCUUGCCGCUGGCAUUACAAUGCUCCUAACAGACCGAAAUCUAAACACUACAUUCUUCGAUCCUGCAGGAGGUGGAGACCCAAUCUUAUACCAACACUUAUUCUGAUUCUUCGGACAUCCAGAAGUCUACAUCCUCAUCCUACCAGGGUUCGGAAUUAUCUCCCACGUCGUAGCUUACUACGCUGGCAAAAAAGAACCCUUCGGCUACAUAGGCAUAGUCUGAGCCAUACUAUCUAUUGGCUUCUUAGGCUUCAUUGUAUGAGCCCAUCACAUAUUCACAGUUGGAAUAGACGUAGACACUCGAGCUUACUUUACAUCCGCUACCAUAAUCAUUGCAAUCCCCACUGGUAUCAAAGUCUUCAGUUGACUAGCCACCCUGCAUGGAGGUACUAUCAAAUGAGACCCACCCAUGCUAUGAGCCUUAGGCUUUAUCUUCCUUUUCACCAUUGGAGGACUAACAGGAAUCGUCCUAGCUAACUCCUCCCUAGACAUUGCUUUACAUGAUACCUAUUACGUAGUCGCACACUUCCACUAUGUAUUAUCUAUAGGAGCAGUAUUUGCUAUCCUAGCUGGCUUCACACACUGAUUUCCACUGUUCACUGGUUAUACCCUCCACCCCACAUGAGCCAAAGCCCAUUUCGGAAUCAUAUUCUUCGGAGUAAACCUCACAUUUUUUCCACAACAUUUCCUAGGUCUAGCUGGAAUACCACGACGAUAUUCAGAUUAUCCAGACGCUUACACCCUAUGAAACACUCUAUCUUCCAUCGGCUCCCUCAUUUCCAUAAUCGCUGUAAUUAUAUUAAUAUUCAUUAUCUGAGAAGCCUUCGCAUCCAAACGAAAAGUAACGCAGCCAGAACUAACCUCUACAAACAUCGAAUGAAUUCACGGCUGCCCUCCCCCUUACCACACCUUCGAAGAACCAGCUUUUGUUCAAGUACAAGAAAGGAAGGAGUCGAACCCUCAUAAGCUGGUUUCAAGCCAACCGCAUUAAACCACUCAUGCUUCUUUCUUAUGGGUUGUUAGUAAAGCCAUUACAUAGCCUUGUCAAGACUAAAUCACAGGUGAAAACCCAGUACACCCCAUCCCUUACCCCAUGGCCAACCAUUCUCAACUUGGUUUUCAAGACGCCUCAUCACCUAUUAUAGAAGAACUUAUCGAAUUCCACGACCAUGCAUUAAUAGUUGCCCUAGCCAUUUGCAGCCUAGUCCUAUAUCUCCUAGCUCUCAUACUUAUAGAAAAACUAUCCUCUAACACCGUAGACGCACAAGAAGUAGAACUUGUUUGAACAAUCCUGCCCGCUAUUGUCCUAGUCAUGUUAGCCCUCCCAUCCCUCCAAAUCCUCUAUAUAAUAGACGAAAUUGACGAACCCGACCUCACCCUUAAAGCUAUUGGACAUCAAUGAUAUUGAUCCUACGAAUACACAGACUUUAAAGACCUAUCUUUUGACUCCUACAUACUACCAACUUCAGACCUACCACUUGGCCACUUCCGCCUUCUAGAGGUCGAUAACCGUAUUGUAAUCCCAAUAGAAUCCCCAAUCCGAAUUAUUGUUACAGCUGACGAUGUCCUCCACUCCUGAGCCGUACCCAGCCUUGGUGUAAAAACCGAUGCAAUUCCUGGACGAUUGAACCAAACUUCCUUCAUCACAACCCGCCCUGGAGUCUUUUAUGGCCAAUGCUCAGAAAUCUGUGGAGCCAACCAUAGCUUCAUACCCAUCGUAGUAGAAUCAGCCCCUCUAGCACAUUUCGAAAACUGAUCUUCACUUCUAACUUCCUAAU